rnacentral:rRNA from 1 species
CCUACGGGAGGCAGCAGUGGGGAAUAUUGCGCAAUGGAGGAAACUCUGACGCAGCAACGCCGCGUGUGUGAAGAAGGCCUUCGGGUUGUAAAGCACUGUUGAAUAGAAAGAAACGGCGGUUUAAAACACCGUCCUGACGGUACUAUUUGAGGAAGCACCGGCUAACUCCGUGCCAGCAGCCGCGGUAAUACGGGGGGUGCAAGCGUUGUUCGGAAUUAUUGGGCGUAAAGCGUGCGUAGGCGGAUUGUUAAGUCUGAUGUGAAAUCCCUCGGCUCAACCGAGGACCUGCAUUGGAUACUGGCAGUCUUGAGUCCCGGAGAGGAUAGCGGAAUUCCUAGUGUAGAGGUGAAAUUCGUAGAUAUUAGGAGGAACACCAGUGGCGAAAGCGGCUAUCUGGACGGUGACUGACGCUGAGGCACGAAAGCAUAGGUAGCAAACAGGAUUAGAUACCCUUGUAGUC